rnacentral:rRNA from 1 species
UUUAUGGAGAGUUUGAUCCUGGCUCAGGAUGAACGCUGGCGGCGUGCCUAAUACAUGCAAGUCGAGCGAACAGACGAGGAGCUUGCUCCUCUGACGUUAGCGGCGGACGGGUGAGUAACACGUGGAUAACCUACCUAUAAGACUGGGAUAACUUCGGGAAACCGGAGCUAAUACCGGAUAACAUGUUGAACCGCAUGGUUCAACAGUGAAAGACGGUUUUGCUGUCACUUAUAGAUGGAUCCGCGCCGCAUUAGCUAGUUGGUAAGGUAACGGCUUACCAAGGCAACGAUGCGUAGCCGACCUGAGAGGGUGAUCGGCCACACUGGAACUGAGACACGG